CCUACGGGAGGCAGCAGUGAGGAAUAUUGGUCAAUGGGCUUACGCCUGAACCAGCCAAGUCGCGUGAGGGAAGACUGCCCUAUGGGUUGUAAACCUCUUUUGUCAGGGAGCAACGCCGGCUACGUGUAGCCGGUCUGAGAGUACCUGAAGAAAAAGCAUCGGCUAACUCCGUGCCAGCAGCCGCGGUAAUACGGAGGAUGCGAGCGUUAUCCGGAUUUAUUGGGUUUAAAGGGUGCGUAGGCGGAAUGCCAAGUCAGCGGUAAAAUCGCGGGGCUCAACCUCGCUCCGCCGUUGAAACUGGCGUUCUUGAGUGGGCGAGAAGUAUGCGGAAUGCGUGGUGUAGCGGUGAAAUGCAUAGAUAUCACGCAGAACUCCGAUUGCGAAGGCAGCAUACCGGCGCCCAACUGACGCUGAAGCACGAAAGCGUGGGUAUCGAACAGGAUUAGAUACCCCUGUAGUC
rnacentral:rRNA from 1 species